GAGACCAGCCUGGCCAACAAAGUGAAACCCCAUCUCCACUAAAAAUAGAAAAAUUAGCUGGGCCUGGUGGCAUGUGCCUGUAAUGCCAGCUACUUGGGAGGCUGAGGCAGGAGGGUUGCUUGAACCCGGGAGGCGGAGGUUGCAGUGAGCCAAGACUGUGCCACUGCACUCCAGCCUGGGCAACGGAGAGAGACUGGGUCUCAAAUAAAUAAAUAAUAAAAUAAGAGGCAGAAGCAAAAGAUGGUCAACUGUCUUGGUUGGCUCAGAACAGAAGAGUUUUUCCUGGAUGUGGGACUUUGGGUGCCAAAAUGGGGAAAGCUCCAAGCAAACUGGAAGUGUCAGUUACCCCACCCAGAGUUGAACCCAGGCAGUGAGGCCCCCAGGGGCAUGGAUGAAUCUGUCCUGUCCCCGGCCCAGGUGCCCAGCUCAGUACAUAUUUGUCGAAUGCAUGAAUGAGCCAAUGAAUGACCUCACUGGGCCUCCAAUCCCCUAAAUAAAAGCUUCCAGAAGGCUGAGCCGAGAUGCAGGUACAUGGACAGUGGGCAAAGAAACAGACCAGUGAGACGACAGGAGGGCCCUGUGGUCAAAGGUCUCUGUAAUCCCUCUUCUCCUUUUACCUGAUCCUCUCCCCAGGACAAGCAAAGAGGGACAAGCGGAAGAAUUUCAAUGUUAAGGGGCAAAAAGUCAAAAGGCUACUUUCAAGCUGAAUUCAAAACAUAUGUAGAAAAAAAAAUCUGGAGAAAAAUUCACAAACCGUUCAACAGAAGUUUUCUCAGGGGGUGUCAUCCCCGGGGCAUUUCAUGUUAUUUGUUACAUAUUUCUAGAAAGAUGGAACUUUUUUGGUCAUCAGAAAAAGUUAAGAGAUGAAAAGCAGAAGAUAUUCUGUUAAAUUUUCUGUCCAGAUACUGUCUAAACAGGAAUCUGUGCAGGACGGGGACCUGUCUUUUAGACUGAGGCUGUUUCUGGCAUUUCUAAGAAUUUGAUGACUUCAAAUUAUGGGGGAGAGUAGUAAAAGCUGCCAGUUACCAAGGAAACAACUGUAGACAAAUGUAGUGGACAUCUGUAGAUUUUUUUCUGCCCAGAGUUUCUUUCCUCUUCUGUUACUCACAUCCUGAAAUACCACCCCUCUAAGUCCAGAAGAUAGGGUGUGCAUGCGCCCAGGUCUGGCCAGUGAGGAGAAUAUUUUGUGCUCACAGCCACAGUGAUUGCUUUAGGGUGGGGCAGGUGACUCAAGCUAGUCCAGUGAGACUCAGUCUAGGACCUUUUGUUGUAACCACAGAGAGAAUGGUACUCCCUUUCCACUAAGCUGAGAGAAAGUAAGCCUGCAGGUGCAGGGAUGGCCUGCCUGAGAAGGAAGCCAAGGUGGACAGAGAAAGAGUAAGGGCCAGAGUGAAGUGUGUGAGAGAGAAGCCUGACAAAUAUAGAACCCCUGGAUCCAGCUGUGCCUGAAGUCAUUGGCCUCGUAAUUUUCCAUGACAUAAGCCAAUAUAUUUCUGUCUUGGAUUGCUUUGAGUUGUGUAUUCUGUUUCCUAUGACCAAGGUUCUUGCUGGCACUGAGAUCCAGAAUAGAAAGUAAAAGGUCAUGUAAGGGCAUUCAGCUCACCUGGGUCCAUCCAGAAACAUGGCGGUUUGUGUUCACAAAACAUGCAAAGGUUCCUAGGCAUGCUACUCACUGACCAUGCAGCACUAAGCACCAUCACCCCUCACUCACUCCUUUCCCCAUUAACCACUGUCAUCCCUCACUCACCCCCUUCCC
rnacentral:lncRNA from 1 species